rnacentral:rRNA from 1 species
UACGGAGGGUGCGAGCGUUGUCCGGAAUCAUUGGGCGUAAAGGGCGCGUAGGUGGCCCGGUCAGUUCGUGGUGAAAGCGCGGGGCUCAACCCUGCGUCGGCCAUGAAUACUGCCGCGGCUGGAGCACUGUAGAGGCAGGCGGAAUUCCGGGUGUAGCGGUGGAAUGCGUAGAGAUCCGGAAGAACACCGGUGGCGAAGGCACUUUACUGGGCUAUUACUAACACUCAGAGACGAAAGCUAGGGUAGCAAAUGGG